CCCACGGCUGAAAGCCGUGGGCUAUUAUCUGUCGUCCCUGACGGGACU
rfam:Verrucomicrobiaceae bacterium SCGC AG-212-N21 AG-212-N21.3, whole genome shotgun sequence.